rnacentral:lncRNA from 1 species
GAAAAAGUGACGAACAGAGGGAGAAAGAAGAGGAGGAAGAGAAGGAGGAAGCUUGGCUAAGGGAUGAGGGGGUGAAAAAAAGGUAGGGCCACUCGUUUCUGGUCCUCAGGGAACCCAAUGGCCGUUCCUCGGAGCAAAACCAUGGUACUAUUGAGAUACGUGUUGAUCAUACGAAACGCAUUGUGCAUAAAAA